AUUGAACGCUGGCGGCAUGCCUUACACAUGCAAGUCGAACGGCAGCACGGGAGCAAUCCUGGUGGCGAGUGGCGAACGGGUGAGUAAUAUAUCGGAACGUGCCCAGUCGUGGGGGAUAACGUAGCGAAAGCUACGCUAAUACCGCAUACGAUCUACGAAUGAAAGCGGGGGAUCGCAAGACCUCGCGCGAUUGGAGCGGCCGAUAUCAGAUUAGCUAGUUGGUGAGGUAAAGGCUCACCAAGGCGACGAUCUGUAGCUGGUCUGAGAGGACGACCAGCCACACUGGAACUGAGACACGGUCCAGACUCCUACGGGAGGCAGCAGUGGGGAAUUUUGGACAAUGGGCGCAAGCCUGAUCCAGCAAUGCCGCGUGCAGGAUGAAGGCCUUCGGGUUGUAAACUGCUUUUGUACGGAGCGAAACGGUCUUCUCUAAUACAGGGGGCUAAUGACGGUACCGUAAGAAUAAGCACCGGCUAUCUACGUGCCAGCCGCCGCCGUAAUAC
rnacentral:rRNA from 1 species